UGACCAUGAUCGUCGUGAUCGUGAUCGUGAUCGUGAUCGUGAUCGUGAUCGUGAUCGUGAUCGUGAUCGUGAUCGUGAUCGUGAUCGUGGUCGUGG
rnacentral:pre_miRNA from 1 species